rnacentral:lncRNA from 1 species
GCCAGGCCCACAUUCUUCACGAUCGUCAGCAUUAUCGGCACGAAGGCGAGGAGGCUCGCGGGCUCAGGGAGUCCUGCCUCCUGCCAGCAGGGAGGCCACCUCUGCGGCCUCAGCACUGUGGCCUGUCCAGUGUCGAGGGCAGAGCCCCAGUUCCUGCCUUGGGUGAGGGCUGGGUGUGCUGUGGAGGGAGUAGCGCCAUGUGAAGGAGGAGCCAGGCACUGGGACAGCGGCCACCAAAGGCCUGGGGCAGGUUUCACCUCCGAGCCCCCGAAGGGGAAGAAUGACACCCUCCUCCCAGGGCCCAGCGAGGAAGAAAAGCCACUUGGUGUGAGAAGGCUGCCUCUCCGCGCGGUGCAGACGGCGCCCGGAGCCUGCAGAGGGAGCGUGUGCAGGAAUGUGCGAUCUCCCCUGGCAACUUCAGCUCUACCAGGAAAACUGCUCGCCGUGAUAUGUGAAGAAACUGAUGCCUCAGGAAGGAAUCUACCCACGGGGGCAGGCGGGGCCGACGGAGAUGCCAGGCCGUGAUCUAGAGGCCUGCUCCAUCAGGACCAGAGUGUGAGCCUGGGCGCUGGGCCUGUCCUGCAGGUCCGCGCCUCGCUCACCCCUGGCUUACAGUGCAGACCACUUCCCUCAUUUAGACUCAGAUGGCUCCCACAUUUGUAUCUCCUGCCCAGACCUGCUCCCUAAGCUCAGCUCCACCUGCCUACGUGGUCCUCCCCCAGCGAGGUCCCUUCUGGGACCGUCUCAGCCCAGCCCCGGGCAGUGGUCCCUCGCUUGACACCCCAGUACCCCCAGCCCGCCCAAACCAGUGCCCGCUGCAGCCCAGGGAGGCUCUCAAGUGCGGCUCUGACCCCACUGCCCCGUGCAGCGCUGCGCCGGCGUCCCACUGCUCCACGGAUGGAGACUGGCUCCUUGCAUGGUGGCCCCGUGAUCCCUGCAGCGUCACUGUGCACGAACCCCUCGCUGACCCCCAGCCGCUCUGGCCUUCAGCUGGGCAGAAGGGACUGUGUGGCACUGAGCUUCUGCCUUGCUGUGCCCUCCCCCAGGGGCAGAGGUCAGAAGCCCCUUCCUUAGGGCUGUGCAAGAGACUUUGGACACCCGUGUGGUCCCACGUCCUUGAUCUCCACACACUGGGCUGCUCACAAACCACUGCCCCGCAGAAGGCACACAGGAGAGGGGGCAGGAAAGGGGCAUUGUGACCGUGUGAGACAGGCUCAGCUCCAGUGAGGCCUCCACUCCCGCCCCUACAGGUUCCAGGGCCUCCGUCCCUCUUGGGUAGUAAAUGUCCACUGGUCACUUAUGGUCACAAGAGCAGCUUCCUUUAGCACGUGAAAUACCCGGUUCUUGCCCGGGAUAAAAUGACGUGCUCAGACCUGUCUGGGCGGGGAAGCUUAGGGUAUGCAGAGAUCCUCAAAUGUUUGUUUAUACAGAUUCCAAUUCUCCUUGAAAUUCUCCAGCUGUUAAUCUACUUUCUUCAUUGUUUCCU